rnacentral:antisense_RNA from 1 species
CCUGGCAUGACUGCUUCUAACAGCAACAUUUCAUUAAGUUUUUAAGUGCCUGGCAAUUGCUUGGUUACAACCGGCGUCUGCUCCAUGGCAGCCUCUUCCUGAAGAAAUGCUGAUGCAGUGUCAUGCUGGUGUGUGUCCUCCUUACAGAAUGCCUGAACAGUUCCAUUGACUCAAAGUGAAGAUCAAAAGAACCAAAUGACAGCAAUAGCUAAGUGUAAUCAUCAGUAACCCUGUGUUCUAUCCACGGGUCAUCUUUGUAUGAGAGCUGAAACAAGAAACUGAGGGUCACCUUAUUUGACCUUAGCUUGGGACGUGUGCAAGGAGUGACAGAGUUUUCACUACUGUGUGUCUAUCCAGGAGCCACCUUGAAAGCUCCACAAGUAUUAAUUUGGGGAUUACAAAGACAUUUUAGCAAGU